GGAGAGGUGGCAGAGCGGUUGAAUGCACCGGUCUUGAAAACCGGAGGCUGCGCAAGCGGCUCGUGGGUUCGAAUCCCACCCUCUCCGCCA
rnacentral:tRNA from 1 species